rnacentral:rRNA from 1 species
GAUGAACGCUGGCGGCGUGCCUAAUACAUGCAAGUCGAGCGAACAGACGAGGAGCUUGCUCCUCUGACGUUAGCGGCGGACGGGUGAGUAACACGUGGAUAACCUACCUAUAAGACUGGGAUAACUUCGGGAAACCGGAGCUAAUACCGAAAAAUUUAUUGAACCUCAUGGUUCAAUAGUGAAAGACGGUUUUGCUUUCACUUAUAGAUGAAUCCGCGCCGCAUUAGCUAGUUGGUAAGGUAACGGCUUACCAAGGCAAGGAUGCGUAGCCGACCUGAGAGGGUGAUCGGCCACACUGGAACUGAGACACGGUCCAGACUCCUACGGGAGGCAGCAGUAGGGAAUCUUCCGCAAUGGGCGAAAGCCUGACGGAGCAACGCCGCGUGAGUGAUGAAGGUCUUCGGAUCGUAAAACUCUGUUAUUAGGGAAGAACAAAUGUGUAAGUAACUAUGCACGUCUUGACGGUACCUAAUCAGAAAGCCACGGCUAACUACGUG